GCCCUGGUAGAUCAGUUGGUAGAUACUCCGUUUGCAUUGGCUAUACGAUCGAACUUAAGCGGACGGCGCGUGUUCGAAUCCCGUCAGGGCA